UACGUAGGGGGCUAGCGUUGUCCGGAAUCAUUGGGCGUAAAGAGCGUGUAGGCGGCCCGGUAAGUCCGCUGUAAAAGUCAAAGGCUCAACCUUUGAAUGUCAGUGGAUACUGCCGGGCUAGAGUCCGGAAGAGGCGAGUGGAACUGCGAGUGUAGAGGUGAAAUUCGUAGAUAUUCGCAAGAACACCAGUGGCGAAGGCGGCUCACUGGCCCGAUACUGACGCUGAGGCACGAAAGCGUGGGGAGCAAACAGG
rnacentral:rRNA from 1 species